rnacentral:rRNA from 1 species
UAACCCAAAGGACUUGGCGGUGCCCCAAACCCACCUAGAGGAGCCUGUUCUACAACCGAUAACCCCCGUUAAACCUCACCACUCCUAGCCAACCCCGCCUAUAUACCGCCGUCGCCAGCUUACCCUAUGAAGGCCCAACAGUAAGCCCAAAGAGUACAACUCAAAACGUCAGGUCGAGGUGUAGCGCACGAAGUGGGAAGAAAUGGGCUACAUUUUCUCAAC